rnacentral:rRNA from 1 species
UAGUGGGGAAUAACUCGCUGAAAGGCGAGCUAAUACCGCAUAACACCCUCGGUGAGAAUCCGGGUGGUAAAAGCUUUAUGCGCUAUGAGAGGGGCCCGCGGCCGAUUAGCUUGUUGGUGGGGUAACUGCCUACCAAGGCGACGAUCGGUAGCUGGUCUGAGAGGAUGGUCAGCCACACGGGGACUGAGAUACGGCCCCGACUCCUACGGGAGGCAGCAGCUAAGAAUCUUGCGCAAUGGGCGAAAGCCUGACGCAGCAAUUCCGCGUGGGGGACGAAGGCCCUCGGGUCGUAAACCCCUUUUGUGAGGGAAGAAGUUCUGACGGUACCUCACGAAUAAGACACGGCUAACUACGUGCCAGCAGCCGCGGUAAUACGUAGGUGUCGAGCGUUGUCCGGAUUUAUUGGGCGUAAAGAGCCCGCAUGCGGCUUGCCAAGUUCGAGGUGAAAUCUCCCGGCUCAACUGGGAGGGUGCCCCGAAAACUGGCAGGCUUGAGGCAGGGAGAGGGAUGUGGAAUUCCCGGUGUAGUGGUGAAUUGCGUAGAUAUCGGGAGGAACACCAGUGGCGAAGGCGGCAUCCUGGCCCUGUCCUGACGCUCAGGGGCGAAAGCAUGGGUAGCAAACCGGAUUAGAUACCCGGGUAGUCCAUGCCGUAGACGAUGAGUACUAGGUGUAGGGGGUAUCGACCCCCUCUGUGCCGAAGCUAACGCGAUAAGUACUCCGCCUGGGGACUACGGCCGCAAGGCUAAAACUCAAAGGAAUUGACGGGGGCCCGCACAAGCAGCGGAGCGUGUGGUUUUAUUCGAUGAUACGCGAAGAACCUCACCCAGGUUUGACAUGCAUGUGGUACUGAUGUGAACAGCUGAGGGACCCUUCGGGGAGCAUGCACAGGUGUUGCACGGCCGUCGUCAGCUCGUGCCGUGAGGUGUUGGGUUACAGUCCCGCAACGAGCGCAACCCCUGUCGCCAGUUGUAUUUUUCUGGCCGUAGACUGCGCGAGAAAACCUCGGAGGAAGGAGGGGUACUGAUGUCAGGUCAGCGUGGCCCUUACGCUCUGGGGCUACACACACGCUACAAUGGGCAGUACAACGGGUCGCACAAGCCGCCGAGGUGGAGCUAAUCCCAUCAAAACUGUCCUCAGUUCGGAUAUGCAG